UCACUCUGAGUGCAACUGGUAGCACGUCCGACUAGAAAUCGGAAGAACCAGAGUUCAAAUCUUUGCGAGGGUA
rnacentral:tRNA from 1 species